AUUGAACGCUGGCGGCAUGCCUAACACAUGCAAGUCGAACGGGGGUAGCGAUACCCUAGUGGCGGACGGGUGAGGAACGCGUAGGAAUUGGCCCACGAGUGGGGGACAACCUGGGGAAACCCAGGCUAAUACCGCAUACGCUCGCGAGAGGAAAGCGGGGGAUCUACGGACCUCGCGCUGGUGGACAAGCCUACGUCCGAUUAGCUAGUUGGCAGGGUAAAAGCCUACCAAGGCGACGAUCGGUAGCUGGUCUGAGAGGAUGAUCAGCCACACUGGGACUGAGACACGGCCCAGACUCCUACGGGAGGCAGCAGUGGGGAAUAUUGAACAAUGGGCGCAAGCCUGAUCCAGCAAUGCCGCGUGGGUGAAGACGGCCUGCGGGUUGUAAAGCCCUUUAAGCGGGGAGGAACGCCGGAACGCGAAUACCGUUUCGGACUGACGUUACCCGCAGAAUAAGCACCGGCUAACUCCGUG
rnacentral:rRNA from 1 species